rnacentral:misc_RNA from 1 species
GGUUUCACUAACUGCAGAAAAUCAAUAUGUAAAGCAGAAAUCUAUGAUCCCGAGAAGAAUGUUUGGGAUCCGAUCCCUGAUCUCCAUCACACACACAACUCUGCCUGCUCAGGAGUGGUUAUUGGUGGUAAAGUUCAUGUAUUGCACAAAGGUUUGUCAACUGUUCAGGUUUUGGAAAAUGUGAAGCAGGGUUGGACUGUGCAUGAGUACGGUUGGCUCCAAGGUCCCAUGG